CCUACGGGAGGCAGCAGUCGAGAAUCAUUCACAAUGGGGGAAACCCUGAUGGUGCGACGCCGCGUGGGGGAAUGAAGGUCUUCGGAUUGUAAACCCCUGUCAUGUGGGAGCAAAUUAAAAAGAUAGUACCACAAGAGGAAGAGACGGCUAACUCGGUGCCAGCAGCCGCGGUAAUACAGAGGUCUCAAGCGUUGUUCGGAAUCACUGGGCGUAAAGCGUGCGUAGGCUGUUUCGUAAGUCGUGUGUGAAAGGCGCGGGCUCAACCCGCGGACGGCACAUGAUACUGCGAGACUAGAGUAAUGGAGGGGGAAGCGGAAUGCUCGGUGUAGCAGUGAAAUGCGGAGAGAUCGAGAGGAACACUCGUGGCGAAGGCGGGUUCCUGGACAUUAACUGACGCUGAGGCACGAAGGCCAGGGGAGCGAAAGGGAUUAGAUACCCCAGUAGUC
rnacentral:rRNA from 1 species